rnacentral:miRNA from 1 species
AAUAUGAGUGAAAGUAUGCCAC